UACGGGGGGUGCAAGCGUUGUUCGGAAUUAUUGGGCGUAAAGAGCGUGUAGGCGGCUGGAUAAGUCAGAUGUGAAAGCCCUGGGCUUAACCCAGGAAGUGCAUUUGAUACUGUCCGGCUUGAGUAGGGGAGAGGGAAGUGGAAUUCCUGGUGUAGAGGUGAAAUUCGUAGAUAUCAGGAGGAACACCGGUGGCGAAGGCGACUUCCUGGCCCUAUACUGACGCUGAGACGCGAGAGCGUGGGGAGCAAACAGGAUUAGAUACCCUGGUAGUCCACGCCGUAAACGAUGUUCACUAGGUGUUGGGGGUAUUGACCCCCUCAGUGCCGCAGCUAACGCAUUAAGUGAACCGCCUGGGGAGUACGGCCGCAAGGUUAAA
rnacentral:rRNA from 1 species